AAAAGGUAAGUAUUGAAAUUGAAGGCGUUGGGAGCGAUGACCAGCCGCAGCGUGUGUGAAGAAGGCCUUCGGGUUGAAAGCACUUUCAGCGAGGAGGAAGGGGUUGUGGUUAAUAAACCGCGUGGAUUGACGUUACUCGCAGAAGAAGCACCGGCUAACUCCGUGCCAGCAGCAGCCGCGGUAAUACGGAGGGUGCAAGCCGUGUUAAUCGGAAUUACUGGGCGUAAAGCGCACGCAGCAGGCGGUCUGUCAAGUCGGAUGUGAAAAUCCAAAUUCCCCGGGCUCCGGAACCUGGGAACUGCAUCCGAAACAACUGGCAAGCUAGAGUCUUGUAGAGGGGGGUAGAAUUCCAGGUGUAGCGGUGAAAUGCGUAGCCCAGAUCUGGAGGAAUACCGGUGGCGAAGGCUACGGCGGCCCCCUGGACAAAGACUGACGCUCAGGUGCGAAAGCGUGGGGAGCAAACAGGAUUAGAUACCCUGGUAGUCCACGCCGUAAACGAUGUCGACUUGGAGGUUGUGCCCUUGAGGCGUGGCUUCCGGAGCUAACGCGUUAAGUCGACCGCCUGGGGAGUACGGCCGCAAGGUUAAAACUCAAAUGAAUUGACGGGGGCCCGCACAAGCGGUGGAGCAUGUGGUUUAAUUCGAUGCAACGCGAAGAACCUUACCUACUCUUGACAUCCAGAGAACUUACCAGAGAUGCUUUGGUGCCUUCGGGAACUCUGAGACAGGUGCUGCAUGGCUGUCGUCAGCUCGUGUUGUGAAAUGUUGGGUUAAGUCCCGCAACGAGCGCAACCCUUAUCCUUUGUUGCCAGCGAUUCAUGCGGGAACUCCUAGGAGAACGGCCGUGAACAACUCGAAGAAAGUGGGGAUAAACUCCAAUCCUUCAGGCCCCUAACAGUAAGGCUUCACACCUGCUUCCAUGGCUAUACACAGAGAAUCGACCAUCCGAGGAGCGAGAGGAACUCCUAAAAUAUGACUCAAUCCGGAAUGGAAUCCGGCACUCUCCUCCCUGGAAUCCGAAUCUCUAAGUAUCCUGGAUCUCAAUGGCUCCGGGUAAUAACUUCCCGGCCCUUGUAACCCCGCCCGUUCACCCAUGGGGAAUGGGUUGCCACAAAAGUAAUUAGCUCACCUUCGGGAGGCCUUACCCUGGAUCGGUGCCAACAAAUAAGUACCUCACCUGCGGGAGGCCUUACCUGGGGUCGA
rnacentral:rRNA from 1 species